GACUAGACUCGUGAAUGAACGAUCGAAAAUAGCAAAUAGUUUGCGUCAUAACCAACAACGAAGCUGCCGAGUAUAAAGCCCCUGUUUAUUGGCUUGGUUUCCUAUAACAAGCAUUAGAAGCUGAGGAGAACGAUAGCUGCUACAAACUCGGACUUGCACUUUGAAAGUUAUUAUAAACUCUUAGCGUUCCCUAUGGACUUCGAGUUAUAUUAGCGUAACAAGAAAACGAUAUCGUCUUUCAAAAUCAAAGGGAUCUACGUAAGGGCAGCGGAUAGCAAGCUUCGAUACUGGAACAUACUUGCACGUUGAUAUUAUUUGGACCUUACAAAAUGAAAACGCAAUCACAAGCGCUGUACCUUCACCUGUUGUGCUUGGGGUUCGCUCUUCUGUUGAUGCUGUCGCAUUCAGAGGCUCGAGUCGUCAAGAGAUACGCGCCGUCUAUUGAGGAUUGCCAACACGGCUGCAAUAAAGACGUUUACAGGUGCGAUUUGCGAUGCAAAUAUGUCAAAGACCUGAAGGGGAAUAGCUUGAAACGUUGCCAUACCGUAUGUGCGGACAUUUUCCUCGACUGCUUCCUCGGGUGUUAUGUGUCAAACUUUAAUGCAAAUCAGUUCGACUCGUUUGGAGGAUUCAAAUGAAUAUGAGCUGCGAAGCGUGAUACUCGGCAUAAAAUAAACGGAACAAGUUUGGGAUUGAAGACAAGAAAAAAUCUAAUUUAUCUCAUCCGAUUAUGUUUUCUCUUGAAUAUUAGAAGGAACGGAACACAAAAAGUAAUGUCUGUAAAAUGUAACAUGCCUUAGCUCAUAAUGACUCUGUUAAUAACUAGCGACUUUCGGUUUUCAAACAGCAGAUAUUUAAACAGAUUUAUAAUUAGGCAAUUGGCUAUAAAUACACACAUCCUUGGCAUCUGGCAUUGAUUUUUUAGCCUGCCACAUGUUCUUGUUGACCUGGGUGGGAACGGAUUUUAAGUACACGCAAAUGGCGCCGGUACACUCACUAACUUUAUUAUCAAGGAUGGAUGUUAUCUGAUCUUCCUUCUAGAAGGCUACUCUAAUUCUAAGGCUAGCGCACAGUCUCUCUCCCUCUUUAGAUGUGUUCCCUUUCCUUUAUACUUAUUCGUGCAAUAUAGUCCAUUUCAUUUCGAUUCCAGCCAAAACUGCAAAUGAUGUUUUAAAGCUGGUGAUAUUCAUUUACGCCCAACACGAGUUUUAACAAGAACUUCGAUAGGCCCUACAUGUAACGCACACACAAAUAAACUAUGAUAAAACUAACAGGUACAAAUGGUUUUAUAACAUGAUGUGGUUUCGGUUAUAAACAGUGCGCUAAAGGCUUUUAAGAUCAUGUUCAUCUGUCCUGAACGUGGUAAAUUGGCUAUUAUAUUUCUAUUAAUAACUAACGUAAGAUAGCGGCACACAUAGGCUUGUCACGAUAUGUUGCUGUUAUUUUUGUUAAGAUGUAUAUACAUGUCAGAUAAUGUUUGUAUUUAUUACAUGAUGCUGCUAAUAUGUGAUGUUUGGUUGUACAUACAAUUGUGCAUGAAAAGUUGUGACUAUUUUUCGCAGGUUCGAAAAUGGAUUUUCUGUUAUUGAAAAAUAUUAUUCUGUAUUUGUGUUUUUGUUUUAAAUUAUUGAGUUGCUUAUUAAAUGAACGAUAAGAAAGGGAAGUGACAUUGCAUUGCGUACAUUAAUUUUUUGUAUGAAUUGAAUUGUAAUAGACGAUAAACUUCUACCCUGAUCCACUACAUGAUCGUUGACGAAAUAUUACCUUUUCCAGGGGUGAAAAUUAGAGCUUUUGUAUUUGUAUUUCGAAAGGCUAAAUAUCAUUUGCCAUGUUCAAAUUAUUAAAUCAUUAUUUAUUUAUAAACACACAAUUAUGCUGAAAGCAGAGCAGUGCAUAGGGUAGAGUUUGAAGUAUAUAUUUGUGUUAAAAAAUACAGUUAACUAUUAUAAUUAUUUGAUUGUAUUUUAUUUUAUAUUAUUUUCAUUGCUACUAUUAUAUGUGUUAAGUUGUAUUCAUGUACAAUUUAAAAUCUUACCAAUUUUUAUUGAAUUAAAUGUUUAUGUUUUGAAAUAAAAUUUGCGGGUUUUUAUCUUUAGAUAUAAGUAAAUGAAAUGGCGAUCCUGCGAAAAAAUACGUAUGAGUUGCCUUUGUGUUUGCACAUUUCAAUUUUACAAUUUUAACUAUCAUUCCACAAUCAAUUAAAUCAUUGUUAAAAAAUAA